rnacentral:rRNA from 1 species
CCUACGGGAGGCAGCAGUGGGGAAUCUUGCGCAAUGGGGGAAACCCUGACGCAGCGACGCCGCGUGCGGGAUGAAGGCCUUCGGGUUGUAAACCGCUUUCAGCAGGGACGAAAUUGACGGUACCUGCAGAAGAAGGCCCGGCCAACUACGUGCCAGCAGCCGCGGUAAUACGUAGGGGCCAAGCGUUGUCCGGAUUUAUUGGGCGUAAAGAGCUCGUAGGCGGCUCGGCAAGUCAGGUGUGAAAUCUCUACGCUCAACGUGGAGGCGCCACCUGGUACUGCCGUGGCUAGAGUCCGGUAGGGGAGUGUGGAAUUCCCGGUGUAGUGGUGAAAUGCGCAGAUAUCGGGAGGAACACCAGUGGCGAAGGCGGCACUCUGGGCCGGUACUGACGCUGAGGAGCGAAAGCGUGGGGAGCGAACAGGAUUAGAUACCCUAGUAGU